rnacentral:rRNA from 1 species
GCCAGCAGCCAUAUCACCCUGCAACACACAACUAGCAACCCACUGAAGCUCAGCAGGUGUGAAGCCUGGUCAGUACCUGGAUGGGAGACCUCCUGGGAAAAACUAAAGUAGCUGCUGGAA